GGAAGAUCAAGAAGAGACACUUGGAUCCCAGAGGGUCAAGUGUCACUGUGGUUCUUGAAGGAGAAUAAGACUGUGCACCAUUCACCUUCGGAUUCACAUAUUUUGGCACAGACCUUGGCCUACAGCAGGGGCUCAAAAGGUCUCAGAGGUAACACAAAAGGCUUAAAAUCUCCAAACCUGUCUCAUGCUGCUAUAUUGAAGAAUUGAUGCUUCCUUAAAAACUGUCUUUUUAUUGGAGAAGAGUGAUAUUUCCCCCAUUUUUUAGCAACUUUGUCUAGGUGUACUAAUUGCUAAUAUUAUACAAUUAGUAAUUCCUCAAGAAGACAUUUCAUUCAAAUAUACUGCUACCAAUAUUUACAGUGUAAUUAACUAUAGUGUAAAUCAACACAGCCUUCUCCAGAGCUCUUACUUGCCUCCUAUUUGCAC